AUUGAACGCUGGCGGCAUGCCUUACACAUGCAAGUCGAACGGCAGCACGGGUGCUUGCACCUGGUGGCGAGUGGCGAACGGGUGAGUAAUACAUCGGAACAUGUCCUGUAGUGGGGGAUAGCCCGGCGAAAGCCGGAUUAAUACUGCAUACGAUCUACGGAUGAAAGCGGGGGACCUUCGGGCCUCGCGCUAUAGGGUUGGCCGAUGGCUGAUUAGCUAGUUGGUGGGGUAAAGGCCUACCAAGGCGACGAUCAGUAGCUGGUCUGAGAGGACGACCAGCCACACUGGGACUGAGACACGGCCCAGACUCCUACGGGAGGCAGCAGUGGGGAAUUUUGGACAAUGGGCGAAAGCCUGAUCCAGCAAUGCCGCGUGUGUGAAGAAGGCCUUCGGGUUGUAAAGCACUUUUGUCCGGAAAGAAAUCCUUGGCCCUAAUACGGUCGGGGGAUGACGGUACCGGAAGAAUAAGCACCGGCUAACUACGUG
rnacentral:rRNA from 1 species